AAGUUCUUACAUGAUCGAUACCUAGAAAAGUAUACAAAAAUAUGAGAAAUGCAAAAGUCAAAUAAGUUUGUUUCUAGAAAAUGAGGAUUAAUGCCGGGCGCGGUGGCUCAAGCCUGUAAUCCCAG